GGCGAUGUAGCUCAGGGGUAGAGCACUUGCCUAGCAUGUGUGAAACCCUAGGUUCAAUCUCUAGUACUGUUA
rnacentral:tRNA from 1 species